rnacentral:rRNA from 1 species
AUUGAACGCUGGCGGCAGGCCUAACACAUGCAAGUCGAACGGUAACAGGAAGAAGCUUGCUUCUUUGCUGACGAGUGGCGGACGGGUGAGUAAUGUCUGGGAAGCUGCCUGAUGGAGGGGGAUAACUACUGGAAACGGUAGCUAAUACCGCAUAACGUCGCAAGACCAAAGAGGGGGACCUUCGGGCCUCUUGCCAUCGGAUGUGCCCAGAUGGGAUUAGCUAGUAGGUGGGGUAACGGCUCACCUAGGCGACGAUCCCUAGCUGGUCUGAGAGGAUGACCAGCCACACUGGAACUGAGACACGGUCCAGACUCCUACGGGAGGCAGCAGUGGGGAAUAUUGCACAAUGGGCGCAAGCCUGAUGCAGCCAUGCCGCGUGUAUGAAGAAGGCCUUCGGGUUGUAAAGUACUUUCAGCGGGGAGGAAGGGAGUAAAGUUAAUGCCUUUGCUCAUUGACGUUACCCGCAGAAGAAGCACCGGCUAACUCCGUGCCAGCAGCCGCGGUAAUACGGAGGGUGCAAGCGUUAAUCGGAAUUACUGGGCGUAAAGCGCACGCAGGCGGUUUGUUAAGUCAGAUGUGAAAUCCCCGGGCUCAACCUGGGAACUGCAUCUGAUACUGGCAAGCUUGAGUCUCGUAGAGGGGGGUAGAAUUCCAGGUGUAGCGGUGAAAUGCGUAGAGAUCUGGAGGAAUACCGGUGGCGAAGGCGGCCCCCUGGACGAAGACUGACGCUCAGGUGCGAAAGCGUGGGGAACAAACAGGAUUAGAUACCCUGGUAGUCCACGCCGUAAACGAUGUCGACUUGGAGGUUGUGCCCUUGAGGCGUGGCUUCCGGAGCUAACGCGUUAAGUCGACCGCCUGGGGAGUACGGCCGCGAGGUUAAAACUCAAAUGAAUUGACGGGGGCCCGCACAAGCGGUGGAGCAUGUGGUUUAAUUCGAUGCAACGCGAAGAACCUUACCUGGUCUUGACAUCCACGGAAGUUUUCAGAGAUGAGAAUGUGCCUUCGGGAACCGUGAGACAGGUGCUGCAUGGCUGUCGUCAGCUCGUGUUGUGAAAUGUUGGGUUAAGUCCCGCAACGAGCGCAACCCUUAUCCUUUGUUGCCAGCGGUCCGGCCGGGAACUCAAAGGAGACUGCCAGUGAUAAACUGGAGGAAGGUGGGGAUGACGUCAAGUCAUCAUGGCCCUUACGACCAGGGCUACACACGUGCUACAAUGGCGCAUACAAAGAGAAGCGACCUCGCGAGAGCAAGCGGACCUCAUAAAGUGCGUCGUAGUCCGGAUUGGAGUCUGCAACUCGACUCCAUGAAGUCGGAAUCGCUAGUAAUCGUGGAUCAGAAUGCCACGGUGAAUACGUUCCCGGGCCU